rnacentral:rRNA from 1 species
GGAGAGAGCUCUUCUACCAAAGCUGUAACCUGCAAAGCUAAGCAGGGUUGGGCCUGGUUAAUACUUGGAUGGGAGACCACCUUGGAAUACCAGGUGCUAUAGGCA